GGAGGAAAAGAAAAUAACAAUGAUUUCCCUAGUAACGGCGAGUGAAGAGGAAAGAGCUCAAAGUUGGAAACUGUUUGGCUUAGCUAAACCGUAUUGUAAACUGUAGAAACAUUUUCCUGGCACACCAGAUUAAUAAGUCCUUUGGAACAAGGCAUCAUGGAGGGUGAGAAUCCCGUCUUUGAUCUGAGUAGUUGUCUUUUGUGAUAUGUUUUCAAAGAGUCAGGUUGUUUGGGAAUGCAGCCUAAAUUGGGUGGUAAAUCUCACCUAAAGCUAAAUAUUUGCGAGAGACCGAUAGCGAACAAGUACCGUGAGGGAAAGAUGAAAAGAACUUUGAAAAGAGAGUUAAACAGUAUGUGAAAUUGUUAAAAGGGAACCGUUUGGAGCCAGACUGGUUUGACUGUAAUCAACCUAGAAUUCGUUUUGGGUGCACUUGCAGUCUAUACCUGCCAACAACAGUUUGAUUUGGAGGACAAAAUUAAUAGGAAUGUAGCCUCUCGAGGUGUUAUAGACUAUUAUCAUACUCUGGAUUGGACUGAGGAACGCAGCGAAUGCCUUUAGGCAAGAUUGCUGGGUGCUUUCGCUAAUAAAUGUUAGAAUUUCUGCUUCGGGUGGUGCUAAUGUUUAAAGGAGGAACACAUCUAGUAUAUUUUUUAUUCGCUUAGGUUGUUGGCUUAAUGACUCUAAUGAC
rnacentral:rRNA from 1 species